rnacentral:lncRNA from 1 species
UAUUAGCGGCGAAAAUUUGGAGUGGUGCCCUCUCGCGAGUGACGUCACGGCCAGGAUGCCGCUCGCUCCGGCUCGGUUGGCUGCCGCGAGCG